CCUACGGGAGGCAGCAGUGAGGAAUAUUGGUCAAUGGACGCAAGUCUGAACCAGCCAUGCCGCGUGCAGGAAGACGGCUCUAUGAGUUGUAAACUGCUUUUGUACGAGGGCAAACGCAGAGACGCGUAUCUGGCUGAAAGUAUCGUACGAAUAAGGAUCGGCUAACUCCGUGCCAGCAGCCGCGGUAAUACGGAGGAUUCAAGCGUUAUCCGGAUUUAUUGGGGUUAAAGGGUGCGUAGGUGGUCGGUUAAGUUAGAGGUGAAAGCCCGGGGCUCAACUUCGGAAUUGCCUCUGAUACUGUUAGGCUAGAGAUUAGUUGCGGUAGGCGGAAUGUAUGGUGUAGCGGUGAAAUGCUUAGAGA
rnacentral:rRNA from 1 species